rnacentral:lncRNA from 1 species
CAUGAUGUUGCAUUGUACUGAAAAGCCCUCUGGCUUCACAUAGCAAUGUGAGCCUUCAAUUUCACAUUCCUUAAAGUGAGGAGAGGCUCUUCUGGUUAGAAGCCCAGAUGCAAAAUGCAUCCAUCAAUUCCAGACUAGGCACUUCGCUGCAGCAAAGCUCCCAGGGUCUUUCGCAGCUUCAGAGAGCUGCCUAGCUCUGCUGCUUUGACCAAGGGACCUCUGUUAUUUAUUUAUCUUUCUCACACCUACUCAUUCAGAAGGAUUUCCUCAGAGGCUUCUGUUGCCCGGUUUUGUGCUAACUUUAGCUGACAAGUGUGGCUAAGCAAAAGAUUUGAUCUUUGCCCUUAAUGAGAGUACGCAAUAAUGAUGAGGUCAAAAAGAUGACCUUUCUUAGGUGUUGCCGGCGAUGCUCUGGCACCUCCUGAAAAACUCAGGGGCCCAGAGUCUGAGGAGUAUGAAGAAACAGGGCAGCCCCAGGGAAGACGAGGGGGGCCCAUGAAACAAAGCAAGUCGGCAUGACCAAGUUGAAACGUCGCUUCAUUUUCCAAGCUUGCAGCAAAUAUCCGUUACUAUCGCCAAAGGAGGAGAAGCUAAAUGCAAGUUUGGGAGGUUAUAAGGAAGCAAUAGACAAGAAACUCCCUUCCAAGGAUGAGGCCUCUUCCACAUUCGGCUUUCGUCUGAUUUAACAGCUCAAUUUCUUCAUCCUGCCACCUCCCUCAUGGUUUUUAUGAGACCUGGGAACUAUUAAAGAAUGCCAAAUACAAUUCA